rnacentral:ribozyme from 1 species
UACCUCGCUGAUACGGAAGUUUGAAGUGAUCCAAAACUUCUAAAAGUUUAACAUAGGCUCUCCAACCCCUACUCCUACUCAAUACGUCCCCGUCGCACAGAAUGGUAACAUGUCUCUCAAUUAUCCAAGCUUGGGUAUACGGGGAAGCCCAACCCCUUGGCCGGAAGGGUUGCAUGGCUAAAUUGAGAGGG